GCCCCCUUAGCUCAGGGGAUAGAGCAACGGCCUCCGGAGCCGUGUGCGCAGGUUCGAAUCCUGCAGGGGGCACCG
rnacentral:tRNA from 2 species